rnacentral:precursor_RNA from 10 species
UUUCAUUUGUUACUUACACACGGGACGGCAUGCCCUAUCCGUCAGUCGCUGCCUCGUUUUGAAUAGCAGGGACUGUCGAAUGGGAUUUGCUGUCUCGGGUCGCUCUUCAGUCGUAUUUU